AAAGUCGUAACAAGGUUUCCGUAGGUGAACCUGCGGAAGGAUCAUUGACAAAUCUAAACAAAAUACUAACCUGUGAACCGGCGGCUGCACAUUGUGCGGCUGCUUUGGUAAGGAAGGCGGCGGGUGAGCUGCUCGCAUCUCGUACCCUGCCUUUCCACUGCCACACAUUUACACAAUUGUCUUACACACAACACAACAACAAAACAACUUUUAGCAAUGGAUCUCUUGGCUUCU
rnacentral:misc_RNA from 1 species